rnacentral:rRNA from 1 species
UUUGGUUAAGUUAGAAAGGGCGCACGGUGGAUGCCUUGACACUAGGAGUCGAUGAAGGACGGGACUAACGCCGAUAUGCUUCGGGGAGCUGUAAGUAAGCUUUGAUCCGAAGAUUUCCGAAUGGGGAAACCCACCAUACGUAAUGGUAUGGUAUCCUUAUCUGAAUACAUAGGGUAAGGAAGACAGACCCAGGGAACUGAAACAUCUAAGUACCUGGAGGAAGAGAAAGCAAAUGCGAUUUCCUGAGUAGCGGCGAGCGAAACGGAACAUAGCCCAAACCAAGAGGCUUGCCUCUUGGGGUUGUAGGACAUUCUAUACGGAGUUACAAAGGAACGAGGUAGACGAAGCGACCUGGAAAGGUCCGUCGUAGAGGGUAACAACCCCGUAGUCGAAACUUCGUUCUCUCUUGAAUGUAUCCUGAGUACGGCGGAACACGUGAAAUUCCGUCGGAAUCUGGGAGGACCAUCUCCCAAGGCUAAAUACUCCCUAGUGAUCGAUAGUGAACCAGUACCGUGAGGGAAAGGUGAAAAGCACCCCGGAAGGGGAGUGAAAGAGAUCCUGAAACCGUGUGCCUACAAAUAGUCAGAGCCCGUUAAUGGGUGAUGGCGUGCCUUUUGUAGAAUGAACCGGCGAGUUACGAUCCCGUGCGAGGUUAAGCUGAAGAGGCGGAGCCGCAGCGAAAGCGAGUCUGAAUAGGGCGUUUAGUACGUGGUCGUAGACCCGAAACCAGGUGAUCUACCCAUGUCCAGGGUGAAGUUCAGGUAACACUGAAUGGAGGCCCGAACCCACGCACGUUGAAAAGUGCGGGGAUGAGGUGUGGGUAGCGGAGAAAUUCCAAUCGAACCUGGAGAUAGCUGGUUCUCCCCGAAAUAGCUUUAGGGCUAGCCUUAAGUGUAAGAGUCUUGGAGGUAGAGCACUGAUUGAACUAGGGGUCCUCAUCGGAUUACCGAAUUCAGUCAAACUCCGAAUGCCAAUGACUUAUCCUUAGGAGUCAGACUGCGAGUGAUAAGAUCCGUAGUCAAAAGGGAAACAGCCCAGACCGCCAGCUAAGGUCACAAAGUGUGUAUUAAGUGGAAAAGGAUGUGGAGUUGCUUAGACAACUAGGAUGUUGGCUUAGAAGCAGCCACCAUUUAAAGAGUGCGUAAUAGCUCACUAGUCGAGUGACUCUGCGCCGAAAAUGUACCGGGGCUAAAUACACCACCGAAGCUGCGGAUUGAUACCAAUGGUAUCAGUGGUAGGGGAGCGUUCUAAGGACAGUGAAGUCAGACCGGAAGGACUGGUGGAGUGCUUAGAAGUGAGAAUGCCGGUAUGAGUAGCGAAAGACGGGUGAGAAUCCCGUCCACCGAAUGCCUAAGGUUUCCUGAGGAAGGCUCGUCCGCUCAGGGUUAGUCAGGACCUAAGCCGAGGCCGACAGGCGUAGGCGAUGGACAACAGGUUGAUAUUCCUGUACCACCUCUUUAUCGUUUGAGCAAUGGAGGGACGCAGAAGGAUAGAAGAAGCGUGCGAUUGGUUGUGCACGUCCAAGCAGUUAGGCUGAUAAGUAGGCAAAUCCGCUUAUCGUGAAGGCUGAGCUGUGAUGGGGAAGCUCCUUAUGGAGCGAAGUCUUUGAUUCCCCGCUGCCAAGAAAAGCUUCUAGCGAGAUAAAAGGUGCCUGUACCGCAAACCGACACAGGUAGGCGAGGAGAGAAUCCUAAGGUGUGCGAGAGAACUCUGGUUAAGGAACUCGGCAAAAUGACCCCGUAACUUCGGGAGAAGGGGUGCUUUCUUAACGGAAAGCCGCAGUGAAUAGGCCCAAGCGACUGUUUAGCAAAAACACAGGUCUCUGCGAAGCCGUAAGGCGAAGUAUAGGGGCUGACACCUGCCCGGUGCUGGAAGGUUAAGGAGAGGGGUUAGCGUAAGCGAAGCUCUGAACUGAAGCCCCAGUAAACGGCGGCCGUAACUAUAACGGUCCUAAGGUAGCGAAAUUCCUUGUCGGGUAAGUUCCGACCCGCACGAAAGGUGUAACGAUUUGGGCACUGUCUCAACCAGAGACUCGGUGAAAUUAUAGUACCUGUGAAGAUGCAGGUUACCCGCGACAGGACGGAAAGACCCCGUGGAGCUUUACUGUAGCCUGAUAUUGAAUUUUGGUACAGUUUGUACAGGAUAGGCGGGAGCCUUUGAAACCGGAGCGCUAGCUUCGGUGGAGGCGCUGGUGGGAUACCGCCCUGACUGUAUUGAAAUUCUAACCUACGGGUCUUAUCGACCCGGGAGACAGU